rnacentral:rRNA from 1 species
GACGAACGCUGGCGGCGUGCCUAAUACAUGCAAGUAGAACGCUGAAGGAGGAGCUUGCUUCUCUGGACGAGUUGCGAACGGGUGAGUAACGCGUAGGUAACCUGCCUGGUAGCGGGGGAUAACUUUUGGAAACGAUAGCUAAUACCGCAUAAGAGUAGAUGUUGCAUGACAUUUACUGAAAAGUUUCAAUUGCAUCGCUACCAGAUGGACCUGCGUUGUAUUAGCUAGUGGGUGAGGUAACGGCUCACCAAGGCAACGAUACAGAGCCGACCUGAGAGGGGGAUCAGCCACACUGAGAGUGAGACACGGCCCAGAGUCCUAGGGGAGGCAGCAGUAGGGAAUCGUCGGCAAUGGGCGGAAGUCUGAGCGAGCAACGCCGCGGGAGUGAAGAGGGUUUUCGGAUCGUAGAGCUCUGUCGUAAGGGAAGAACGAGUGUGAGAGUGGAAAGUUCACACUGUGACGGUAACUUACCAGAAAGGGACGGCUAACUACGUG